ACGGCUGCGGUCGACUGAGGACCCAGCGAGGCGGCGGUGGCACGGACACAGCCUUCUCCACCGUGUUUGUCAACAGCCAGGCUCACCUGCCCCUCACCUUGGAGAAAGCCACCUUUCUGCACGGACCCAGGCUGGAAUACUGACUAUUGUUUGAAAGGUGAACAUUUCGAGCAACUGGGGAACAGGGGACUGGAGAGAAGACAAAUGCCCUGGUUGCCCCUCAGCACCCUCCUGCUGCCACGUCCUCACAGCCUGCCUGUCCUGCAGCAGGGCACGUCUCUCCCUCUCCUUGGAAGAACUUUGGCUGCAAGCAAUGCUUGCCUUGGAGGUCACUCCAAAACGUCGCCGAGCACCAUUCACCCACAUCCAGCCCCAGCCACUCAUCUUCUCGGCCACAGGACAAACAGUGUGCUCCAGCCUUGGCUUGCCUUUCCCCUCCACAUCAUCUGGGCUGACCUCUUGCCUUCCCACGCAGAACAGCUGGCUCCAUCCGAUCUGACAUGUUUCCUGAGGACCUUCUGGGGGCUGCACCAGUUUUCCACUAACACUGUGCUUUGUUUAUGCCCAGAGGUCUCCAGGUCAGGAGGCUGCUGGGGGUGGAGAGCCAGAGCCUUUGCUUUACUGUACACACAGGAGGAGAGGCAGAGCAAGACAAGCUGGAGAUACUCCCCUCAUCGUGGCAGCACCAGCUGCCAUCCCCUGACGGAGCAGAUGAGAGAGCUCGCUGAGAAAAAAAACAGCUUACACAAAACCUGGCUCUGUUAGACAUACAUAUAACUGCUGUGACUCACCACAAGUUUGUGAUGAAGGGAUGAGAAGAGGGAAGCAAGUGGAAGUAGCACUGCUGUCACUGCUCUGAGGAGGCUGUCCUGGACCAUGCAGGAUGUGCAGUACAUCUGCUGGACACUGCUUCCUACCUCAUGCCUGUUCUGAACAGAAAAGAAUAAAUAAGAAAGGGGGAAAAAA